rnacentral:rRNA from 1 species
AACGAACGCUGGCGGCAUGCCUAACACAUGCAAGUCGAACGAGACCUUCGGGUCUAGUGGCGCACGGGUGCGUAACGCGUGGGAACCUGCCCUUAGGUUCGGAAUAACUCCCCGAAAGGGGUGCUAAUACCGGAUAAUGUCUUCGGACCAAAGAUUUAUCGCCUUUGGAGGGGCCCGCGUUGGAUUAGCUAGUUGGUAGGGUAAAAGCCUACCAAGGCGACGAUCCAUAGCUGGUCUGAGAGGAGGAUCAGCCACACUGGGACUGAGACACGGCCAGACUCCUACGGGAGGCAGCAGUGGGGAAUAUUGGACAAUGGGCGAAAGCCUGAUCCAGCAAUGCCGCGUGAGUGAUGAAGGCCUUAGGGUUGUAAAGCUCUUUUACCCGGGAUGAUAAUGACAGUACCGGGAGAAUAAGCUCCGGCUAACUCCGUG